rnacentral:rRNA from 1 species
GAAGAUAUUGACGUUCAGAACGAGGAAAAUCAUGGUGUUGAAUCUUUCGGGGAUAACAUAAGCCAGGCUAACUAUGAUGGUUGGAGUGGUGAAGAUGGAUAUGAGCAUGAGGAUGGAGCUAAUAUGGACAUUGAGGAAGCAGAAAUCCAGCAACGUGCGCUGGAGACACAGUUGAAGGUUAUGGGUAUGACAUUUGCAUCACAAUGGGAGGCUCACAUGUUCUAUAAUAACUACGCCAAAGACCGUGGAUUCAGUAUCAGAAAAGAUAAGGUGAAACGAGGAAAAGGACUUUCAUCCACUGUUCGGUAUAGGAGAUACGUUUGCUCGAGGGCAGGAAAACGUCUCAGUAAAUUUUUAAACCCGGAGGGCCGUACCCGCAGGCUAAGACCAGAGACUCGUUGCGAGUGUGGCGCACAUUUAGUCGUGAAGUUGGACAAAGGACGU